UCGGCCGUGGUGCACGGUGCACGCCUGUUCCAAUUGUCCGGCGAUCAUAGUACACUUAGAUGACAGGAAUCCCGGGUUCGACUCCCGGCGUCCGAA